rnacentral:misc_RNA from 1 species
CAGUCACUCUGAGACAGUGGUGCUGAGCAGACGUCACUCGAUUGGCUUGUGAUACAUACACACACCCAAAAUGGCGGAUCAGCUGACCGAAGAACAAAUUGCCGAAUUCAAGGAGGCCUUCUCCCUGUUCGACAAGGACGGCGACGGCACCAUCACCACCAAGGAACUGGGCACAGUCAUGAGGUCCUUGGGCCAGAACCCCACCGAAGCCGAACUCCAGGACAUGAUCAACGAGGUGGACGCUGACGGUAAUGGCACAAUCGACUUCCCCGAGUUCCUCACCAUGAUGGCCCGCAAAAUGAAGGACACCGACUCCGAGGAAGAGAUCAGGGAAGCCUUCAGGGUGUUCGACAAGGACGGCAACGGCUUCAUCUCUGCGGCCGAGCUCAGGCACGUGAUGACCAACCUCGGAGAGAAGCUGACUGACGAGGAAGUCGAUGAGAUGAUCAGGGAAGCCGAUAUUGACGGCGACGGUCAGGUCAAUUAUGAGGGUAAGUUCGAAAGGUCCGAGACGAAGGCUUAUGGCCCUCGCUGCGGCCUUUUCACUUGUUUAUUGGAUAGCGGGCGGUUCCACCUGCGAGUCUCCUGGGAGGUAGAACUUAGGUGGAUCUAUUGGCAGCUCACGGAAACACUCGGUGCUUGGAAAUCGAGGGAAAUUUGGGUUCAUUAAGGAAAAAAAAACUUGAGUGCUUGAGGAAGAGUGCGUGGGUUGUAGGGGCUUGCAUGAGAUGGUUUACUAAAUAUCUGCUGCACAGUAGCACUUCUAAGGCACGGGUCUUUAGUACUGCGUGUGGUGUGCGGUGAUCACAGCUAAUUGGACUUCAGAAAAGCCGAUGGUUUGCCUUGCAAAGGUUGGGAGUGCAGAAAGAGUUGGUAAUUUAUACAGAGCAUGGAAGUUGGGAAAACAGGACUCUAUGAAAUGGGAGGGAGACUGUGAAGCCACUCUCACUUCAUGCAGAAUGCAUUGCAGAAGUUGGGUGUCAAGGAGGGACAGAUGUUUCAACCUUUCCUUUAAGGUGGUGUGGGCAUUUUGGAAGCUACCAGAAUGUACUUAUUUUUCAUUAAUAUGUUUUAUAUACACCUGGAAAUCAAGGGUGGAGGGCAUCUGGUAAGAAGUCCAUAGCUGGUCUCGUAGGAUAUAUUGGCUGAAUUAGGAGCGAAAAUCUGCGUCGUUUGCAUGGCACACAUCUAAGCACCCCAUUGGUGGCAGUUUCCCUCCCCCUUCUUUCCUCACCCUCUUCUACUUCUCGCCCUUCCUCCCUCCUCCCACUUCAAGGUCACUUAGGUUGCACUAGGACUUGCCGGCUUCUUUUGCACUCAACGCAUGUACUAACGUCCUCUUCACGUUGCAUGAUUACUUUUUCUAUAUUUUCUCCCUUCCAUAGUUUCUUUGGUUUGUAGAUAUUUGAGAUUAUUAGUUUAUCAGUUUAAUUUGCUAAACCUUGUAGCAUUUAUUUUGUAGUUGUCUUUUGAGAAUAAUACACAUGAACUGAGAAAACUACACAUUAAUGUGUGUUAGUCUGCCAUCUGUCAUUUUGUUUAUUUACAUUUUAUUUUGCCUUAUAAGAAAACUGUAGAAGUAGACCUUUAUUUUUUUUCUAGUCCUGCAUGAGUCGCCCUCAGACUUUCCGUCCGACUUUCUUUUGCAGAAUUCGUGCGAAUGAUGACUUCUAAGUAGAGACGCCACCUGCGGCCCCUCCCCCCCCGUCGGGCCGUGGCUGGCCGACCUUAACCCUUAAUAAUAUCUAGUUCGUCACGAUGAUGACCUCGAAGUGAAGUGAUCGCGCCUCCUAAAUAUUGUAAACAAAUUUCAAACGAACAGUUUUUUCUGCUUUCCAAUUUAUCUUGUUAACGGACCGCUAAAAAAAAAACAUUGUAAUACACGAGUCGUCACUAUCUCUUAAUUGCUAACUCUUAUUGCCUUCAUAUACACGAUCUGGCUCUCGGCUAGAGUUUCCAGCAGCAGUAUCAAGCAGCCACCACCACCACCACCACUACUUCUACGUCUGCUACUACUACUACUACUACUAUUACUACUAUAACCCUUCCUCUGUUCUUACUCCUACUCCUACUUCUACCACUUUUCCUGCUACUAUGACCACGGCCCCACUCCCUCCCUCCGCCUUCGCCCCUCUGCCAGCCUACUCACCCCGCCAGCAGAACACCAGCUACAGCAAGAACAAAAGCGACUAAACGGCAAGAAAGCGAGCGAGCAAGCAGCCACAACCAACAUCUUUUUCGGUGGCAAGGAAGGCGGGCCGUGAGGCAUCUCUCGUCCGCCUGCAGCAUGAAAUUCGAAGCCAAAAUGGACAAGCAAAAGAAAAAUAAGAUCGGUAAAAAUCGGACUACACCUUUGAGACAACCAUUGGAAAAGAAACAUUCGAUCAGAACCGACGGAAAAGAGCGUGUAAGUGUGGGGUGUGCGCCAGACGAGGGCGUGGAGGAUGCUGACGGGACGUGGCUGAACCUUAUCCCCCUGGCAGGAGUAAGUGACUCUGUCAGUAGCGGUAGCGCCGUUAUAGAUGGGUUGGUUGUCCUAGGGAUUGCGUCACGGGUGGCUGGACCUCUGGAAAGAAAAAAGGGAAAAUAUGUUGCUAUUUAACCAGUGAUUAUAUAUAUAUACUACACAUACAUUUAUGUAUAUUAUAUGAAUAUAUAUUCGAAGUAGCAAGCGAUACUUUGUGAUGAAAGGGUAGGGAGGCUUCGUGGACGUCGUCGUCAGACCCACCGGGACAGCCUUGAAGAUCUUGCCGCCAGCUCGCGUCCACCGCCCUCAAGGUGUGCUCUCCCACGUAGCCGUUCGGGCGGCCGAGGCGCGACCCCGUGCCUCUGCCGAAGCCGCCGCGGUGGCGCCAUCCGACUGUUGUGGUUGCCGCCGCGAGCCUGGCUUGGCUUGGCCGGCCGCCCCGGGUGACCUCUUCACUUCCGCCACCUUGACGUCGUGAAGGUUGCCAGGUCGCGGGUCACGCGAGUGGCCGUGACCGGUGACGCAACGCUGGCUGAGGCGCCGGUGGGUACUGUCGCUGCGAAGACUUCUCGCCGUUAUCUCCUCCAUCAUUGUUGAACAACGUGAAGACUUUUGAACACCCGAGAGGCCAGCCACCCUUUACUCGUCUCUCAAGACUACUUGGCUCUUUCCUUAAGUUUUCAUUUUGUCUGUCCAGUUCUGAAUAAGAAUGGAAAUAUAUAUAAAAAUAGGUUGGUCAGUUUUUACAAGCUGUUGUAGCAAAAUUAUUAUUUUUAGUUGAGAGAACCAUUGCGUUCGUGAAAUAUAUUUGAUAAGAGGAUAGUAUCCCGUCUGGCCAAUGGUCAGGCUGGGUUACUUUGGACCUUUUUUGAAAUUCCUCUUAGAAUUUUUUUCUUUUUAAUGAAGAUCGCUGCCUUGCGAUGCCUUUUUUAUUUUAGUUUGUCUGGAAGUUAGUUUCUCUGGUAAAUAAGAAAGGAAGGAGAGGGUGCGCUGUAUUUUUGUGUUGGUUGAAUGAAGUUGGUACAUUUCCGUAUCAUGUAAUUUCUUGUUAGGUGUGUCUUUGUCAAUUUUUCUUAAAGGAAUAGCAAAUGUAUACAUAUUGCAAAAAACAAAAAUGAAGUUGAAAAAAUUUCCUCUUGUACUACAUAAUACUAAUGUAAGGCACGUCACACAACCAUGACUGUUUCUGUUUCCCAACCACCACUUCCCUGCAUUGUUUACAUCACUUGUUUGUUAACAUUGCCGCUUUGUGCAAAGGCUCUGUUGCCUUUGCCAGCGAGCUUGACCACUUAUACUAUGAUUACGAUAGACCAUGCUGAUUAAAUAAUGGAUAUUAUGAUUAUAAUUAUUAUUGUGUAGGAGAAAUACAGUUCUUUCAAAAGUUUUUUUCGUCUUUCUUGCAACAUGUCAUGUAAAGAAAGUUUUUUUUUUUCUUUCAAUUCUUUCUUGCCAUGCUUAUCAGGGUCUCAACAGUUGACGGCGGAUUGUAGUUAAGCUUCUAAUUUUUUGUUCUUGUCACGCCCCAUUGGGGUGCAGCGCCCAGGAUGGUCACCAUGGCAACCACGCCCGCCUCCCAACCACUCGGUCCUGGCUCCGCCCACCACCUUGGGGUGUGGGCGGGCGCUAGCGAUGGGUUCGGUGUGGGAUGGGCGUGCGGCGCCGGGUACCCACCCUGCUUGGCUAUUUUAGAUUCAUUUGGGGGAAUCCUUAUAUUGCUGGUGCGUUGGUGUAGUUACGUUGUGUAUCUCGACCCAGACACUGCGACACUCGACACAACUACACAACGUGAUGAACAUUCCUUUAAAACUUGCUAUGUUUUUGUGAGGGCGAGGACCCUGCCUUGGGUUUGGUGGGGCUCCUCGCGCCUCGUAAUCUUGUUUUAGUGUGGUACGAUAGGUGAGCGGAGACCUGCGGGGAGGGGGCGUGGAGGCACUCGCCGGGCUGCCCCCCUGGGCGUGCGUGCCUAGGGUGGGUGGUGGUGGCACUCGCCGGUCGCCCCCCCUCUCAGGCCCUGCUUUGGAGGCUGGGGGAGGAGGGCGGGUGGGAGGGAGGCCCAGGGAACAGGGGGGGCGUGGCGUGUGUGGGGGGGAGUGUGGGGGGAGAGGGAAGUGGUAAAUACGACCGAAAAAAUCGGCUGUGCGAGGCCGUAGUCAAGUUUACCACACCCUCUCCCACGCCUUCCUCCCGCCCCCUCCGCCGUCCGCCCCUGUCCCCUGCCUCCCUCCCCAGCCCCCCUUCCCCUCCCCUCCAAUGAGCGGGGUCGGGUAUGCAGUGGGUGUCCCUCCCCUCCCCGCCAGGCCCCGUACCCCCACCCCCUCAGCUAGUGAGACUCGGUACCGCAGAGCGUCCCCGCACUACCAUCACCACUACAACACCAGCAGCAGCAGCAGCAGGUGUUGUUGCUCCUGUUGUCUCCGGGGUGUGGGCGGCGAGGGGCAGCUGUGCCGCCCGGCCGCCCCGUACCGCCCCAUCCACCCAUCACUGCACCAUUUAAAAAAGAAAAGAAAAAAAAAGGAAAAAAAAGUGUUAAUUAAUAUCAUUAGUUUUUGUCAUGUUUGGGCCCCCUUUUUUUAUAUAAACAUAUUUGACUUGUGAGCCUGUUUCCUCCUCCCGGCCGCUGGUGCCGCGCGCGCUGUGCCACCGCCGCGGCACUAGCAAGUAGCCGCAGCUCCUGACAAGCCCAUUCGCUCUUUUCAAACAUUGCCGCAUUCGAGCUAAGGUUUCCUGGUGAAGGUGCAGGAGGGGCGGGCCGGAGCCCCAGCAGCCACCUUUAGCCUCCACCAGCCAGGCCCCUCCCCGUCCUUCGCCCCGCCCUCCGCCCCGCCCUCGGCCUAAGCCCUUCCCCCUGGCACCCACACGUGGCUUCGGGGGCGCUGGCCUCGGGCGGCGGACGGUGGUGGUGGUGGCCGGGUGGGCGGUGGGUGGGGUCGCACUAGUAUUGUUGGUAGUGGGUGUGGGUGGCGGGGGCGGGGGAGCCGCUGCGGAUGCUUCACCCCACCACCAGGACUCCAUUAGUAAUUUGAGGACCGGAUGUCAUGUUGUAUUGAAUAAAAAAGAUCAAGAAAGA